rnacentral:rRNA from 1 species
AAUUCGAAGCUAACGCGAAGAACCUUACCAGGUCUUGACAUCCCGAUGCUAUUCUAGAGUAUAGAAGUUACUUCGGUACAUCGGUGACAGGUGGUGCAUGGUUGUCGUCAGCUCGUGUCGUGAGAUGUUGGGUUAAGUCCCGCAACGAGCGCAACCCUAUUGUUAGUUGCCAUCAUUCAGUUGGGCACUCUAGCGAGACUGCCGGUAAUAAACCGGAGGAAGUGGGAUGACGUCAAAUCAUCAUGCCCCUUAUGACCUGGGCUACACACGUGCUACAAUGGUUGGUACAACGAGUUGCGAGUCGGUGACGGCGAGCUAAUCUCUUAAAGCCAAUCUCAGUUCGGAUUGUAGGCUGCAACUCGCCUACAUGAAGUCGGAAUCGCUAGUAAUCGCGGAUCAGCACGCCGCGGUGAAUACGUUCCCGGGCCUU